rnacentral:rRNA from 1 species
AGGGCACCACCAGGAGUGGAGCCUGCGGCUUAAUUUGACUCAACACGGGGAAACUUACCCGGCCUGGACACUGGAAGGAUUGACAGAUUGAGAGCUCUUUCUUGAUUCAGUGGGUGGUGGUGCAUGGCCGUUCUUAGUUGGUGGAGCGAUUUGUCUGGUUAAUUCCGAUAACGAACGAGACUCUAGCCUAUUAAAUAGGCUCCCGGCUUUUAAACGCCGGGAGGACUUCUUAGAGGGACAGGUGGCGGUUCAGCCGCACGAAAGAGAGCAAUAGCAGGUCUGUGAUGCCCUUUGUUGUCCGGGGCCGCACGCGCGCUACACUGAAGAGAUCAGCGUGCUUUAUGUUCCUGCUCCGACCGGAGUGGGGAACCCAGUGAACCUUCUUCGUGAUUGGGAUAGAAGAUUGUAAUUAUUCUUCUUGAACGAGGAAUUCCCAGUAAAUGCGAGUCAUAAGCUCGCGUUGAUUACGUCCCUGCCCUUUGUACACACCGCCCGUCGCUACUACCGAUUGAACGAUUU